UACGGAGGGUGCAAGCGUUAAUCGGAAUUACUGGGCGUAAAGCGCGCGUAGGCGGCUGAUUAAGUCGGGUGUGAAAGCCCCGGGCUCAACCUGGGAACUGCAUCCGAUACUGAUCGGCUAGAGUAUGAGAGAGGGAGGUAGAAUUCCACGUGUAGCGGUGAAAUGCGUAGAUAUGUGGAGGAAUACCGAUGGCGAAGGCAGCCCCCUGGGUCGAUACUGACGCUCAUGCACGAAAGCGUGGGGAGCAAACAGG
rnacentral:rRNA from 1 species